rnacentral:tRNA from 1 species
AUUUUAAUAGCUUAAAUAAGAGUACAAUAUUGAAGAUAUUGUGGUGAUAUUAAUCUUAAAAUA